ensembl:ncRNA F43C11.13 ncRNA
UUUAGGCUUAGGCUUAGGCUUAGGCUUAGACUGAAGCUUAGGCUUAGGCAUAGGCUUAAGAUUAGGUUUUGCUUAUGCCUAUGCUUAG